rnacentral:rRNA from 1 species
UACGUAGGGGGCAAGCGUUAUCCGGAUUCACUGGGCGUAAAGGGAGCGCAGGCGGCACGGCAAGUCUGGUGUGAAAACCCGGGGCCCAACCCCGGGACUGCAUUGGAAACUGCCGCGCUAGAGUGUCGGAGGGGUAAGCGGAAUUCCUAGUGUAGCGGUGAAAUGCGUAGAUAUUAGGAGGAACACCAGUGGCGAAGGCGGCUUACUGGACGAUGACUGACGCUGAGGCUCGAAAGCGUGGGGAGCAAACAGG